AUUGAACGCUGGCGGCAGGCUUAACACAUGCAAGUCGAGCGGGGUGAUGGUGCUUGCACUAUCACUUAGCGGCGGACGGGUGAGUAAUGCUUAGGAAUCUGCCUAUUAGUGGGGGACAACAUCUCGAAAGGGAUGCUAAUACCGCAUACGUCCUACGGGAGAAAGUGGGGGAUCACUUGUGACCUUGCGCUAAUAGAUGAGCAUAAGUCGGAUUAGCGAGUGGGGGGGUAAAGGCCUACCAAGGCGACGAUCUGUAGCGGGUCUGAGAGGAUGAUCCGCCACACUGGGACUGAGACACGGCCCAGACUCCUACGGGAGGCAGCAGUGGGGAAUAUUGGACAAUGGGGGGAACCCUGAUCCAGCCAUGCCGCGUGUGUGAAGAAGGCCUUAUGGUUGUAAAGCACUUUAAGCGAGGAGGAGGCUCUUUUGGUUAAUACCCAAGAUGAGUGGACGUUACUCGCAGAAUAAGCACCGGCUAACUCUGUGCCAGCCGCCGCCGUAA
rnacentral:rRNA from 1 species